rnacentral:rRNA from 1 species
CCAGCUCCAAUAGCGUAUAUUAAAGUUGCUGCGGUUAAAAAGCUCGUAGUUGGAUCCGGGCAGUCGACGCGCGGUGCGCCUUACGGCGUUACUGCGUGCUCGUCGCCACUAUCCGGCCUUGUCUUUCAUGUUCUUUACUGAGCGUGAUUGGCGACCGGGACGUUUACUUUGAAAAAAUUAGAGUGCUUAAAGCAGGCAUAUGGCCUUGCAUAAUGGUGCAUGGAAUAAUGGAAUAGGACCUCGGUUCUAUUUUGUUGGUUUUCGGAGCUCGAGGUAAUGAUUAAGAGGAACAGACGGGGACAUUCGUAUUGCGGCGUUAGAGGUGAAAUUCUUGGAUCGUCGCAAGACGAACUACUGCGAAAGCAUUUGUCAAGAAUGUUUUCAUUAAUCAAGAACGAAAGUUAGAGGUUCGAAGGCGAUCAGAUACCGCCCUAGUUCCAACCAUAAACGAUGCCAACCAGCGAUCCGUCGGUGUUCAUUCAAUGACUCGACGGGCAGCUUCCGGGAAACCAAAGUGCUUAGGUUCCGGGGGAAGUAUGGUUGCAAAGCUGAAACUUAAAGGAAUUGACGGAAGGGCACCACCAGGAGUGGAGCCUGCGGCUUAAUUCGACUCAAC